AAUCCUAACUAUGUCUACUCAGAAGUAAAUCCUGUUGAAAUCAGUAGUGCUUGCUGUCAGGUAUGUGAUUGAAUCCCAUCUGAAAAUAUUGACAGUCUAGAAGCACCGUGAGGAGAACUAUAAGAAGCUGGUUCACACAAUCAUAAGGAACAUUAUAUGAAGCUAAGAGUCCGGAGAUUGGGUCACCUGGAAAUCCAGAGAGGACCCAAAAAGGCUGGAGACUCCAGGCAAAAAUCAGAGACCUGGCAACUCUACUGAGGAGGAAGCAAUAGCAGCUAUAAGAGUCAGCUCCAAGAUAUCAAAGACCAGUUCCAGACUUCAGAGAUUGCGUACAACAACAUAUUUAUGGUGUAUUUUUGAUGAGUCUUCGACUUGCUUGACUAAUAAAACCCACUCGCUUUUAUUUCUAUGUCAAAG